GCACUUGGUGUAUUUUUGCCUGUAACGCUGCCCGGUACGAUAAAAUCUCGGGGUCCGGGAUGUACUUUCGCGCGAGAAGAAUUUUGGAAGCUGUGAACAUCAUGGAGACUGUGAAAGCCUAGUGCUCGGAUACGCAAGAAUCGAUGAAGGUCGGAAGGCAGUACAUCUGAAUAGAUAGCUGGCCGCCACCUGCGCCCUGCGUAACCAGGCGGUUUCGUCGAGAGGAGGCGUCGCUACUGCAUUGCAAAAGCAGAGGUUCCACAUCGGGCGAUUCAAGACGGGACGUACCAAUCCUCUGCCAUGUACUUCGUGCAAUUAUACAAGAGAUAUUGAACACUUUCUGUGGUCGUGCUCAAGCUACCGUGGG